UAACGCGAAGAACCUUACCAGGGCUUGACAUCCCUCUGCCGGGCCUAGAGAUAGGUCUUUCCCUUCGGGGACGGAGGAGACAGGUGGUGCAUGGUUGUCGUCAGCUCGUGUCGUGAGAUGUUGGGUUAAGUCCCGCAACGAGCGCAACCCUUGCCUUUAGUUGCCAGCACUUCGGGUGGGCACUCUAGAGGGACUGCCGAUGACAAAUCGGAGGAAGGUGGGGAUGACGUCAAAUCAUCAUGCCCUUUAUGUCCUGGGCUACACACGUGCUACAAUGGUCGGUACAACGGGUUGCCACCCAGCGAUGGGGAGCUAAUCCCUAAAAGCCGAUCCCAGUUCGGAUUGCAGGCUGCAACUCGCCUGCAUGAAGCCGGAGUUGCUAGUAAUCGCGGAUCAGCAUGCCGCGGUGAAUGCGUUCCCGGGCCUUGUACACACCG
rnacentral:rRNA from 1 species